rnacentral:lncRNA from 1 species
UUCAUAUUAAAAUGAUGCUUUUACGACCUUUAAACUUUACAAACAAAAAAAAGCAGAAUUCUAUUUUUAGAAUUACAUGUAUAUGCAACUAACAUAAAAGUACGAGUUAUAUCAAGCGUUUGGAUUGACAUGUUUGAUCAUAGUACGCACGUGUCGUCAUACAUAUAUUCCAAUUUAUAAAAGAAAUUAAAAACAUGUUUUGGAACGCCUUGCCAUUGUUGACAUUCAAUCAAAAGUAUGUAUGAAACAAAUACUAGCAUGAUGCAUUGUGAUUAUAAAAUAACGACUUGAUUGUCAUAGACAUCAUCGUCACAGUAUUACCUGUACAAGUAGUUCCAAUAUCGACAUUUUAUUGUAUU